AGGAUCACGAUAGUAUAAGAACUGCUUAUAAGAAAAGGUUGCCGCUUUCUCAGCAUUCUGCCCCCAUCAAUAAAUAACUUAAUAAUCACUGCAUUUGGGGAAGUCUCUGAGCUCUGUGCUGGGACCUAAUUAACGCAUCUGAAGUCCAGGCAGGCACAGUCCCUGGGCUCUGCAACUAACCCUAGCGAAGGCACAUAUUUCUCCAUAUGCGCAUAACGCAAAUAGGUGCACGCGAUAGACGAACCACCGCGUGUUCACGGGUACAUUUUCCCAAGGAGACCCCAGGCGAACUCCGGAAUUGGGCACACACAACAGGAAUGCAGUCAAAGAACACAAAAGACUUUAUGCCAUUUAUGAAACCAGGAAUCCUGUCAAGAAGAGUCACGGGAUGGAGGUGCCUGGGGUUCUGUGCUCAUCCAACCCUCCAAAAUGGCUAUGUGAGAGGGAGCUGAUGCAGGACGGUGGGUCCAGGGGCUCCAUGCCUAGCUUUUAGUGCAGGCUGGGCAGCAACCAUGAUGAGUCUUAUAACUCAUGUACAUUAGUUAUACCUGUGUAUACUCACCACAAUGUUUGUCUUUGAUUUUGCUUUCAUAUUAUAAAAGACUGCAUUUUAGGUGAUACUUUUAAUAAUUCACCAAUUGGUUGAUUACUUAGUCUGGGUUCUUCAGAAAAUACAUCCUGAGGCAAAAUUUAAAUGCUACAGUUUUACUAAAGUGUGCAAUACUGACGAAAACAAGAAUGAAGGACAAGUGGUUUGAGGCAUGGAAGAAGGGAGAACACGUAGGAGCUACUGCUGCAUUUCAGGACAUUUCUUUGGGGGCAAUAAAGGGAAAGUCAUUUAUGUACCUGGCUCCCACCUCCCAUUUACCAAAGUUCUGUCCCAUGGAUGGCUAACUCUCCGGCAACUUCAGAUCACACAUACAUAAGUACUGAGCUGGUAGCAUUUUGGACCUCACUGUCUACUGAGAAACCUGAUGGUGGGAGGUGAGAGACAAGGAAUGUGUACAUGAAGUAAGGGAUGUGAGUUUGUCUGCAUGUAAAGCUGAUUAGAGCUCUUGUGGAACUGCAUGCUAAAGCAGUAACUGGGAUGAAAAAUAAGGCCGAGAUUCACAGACACUGGUUAAAGAUAAGAUCUGAAGUGGUAUACAGUUGGAUAAUAAUUACAUUUGUAAUGUGGUUUUGCAAGUUUUAGGACAUGUAAAAUAGUAGAAAAGGGGAUAAUACUAUGGUAUUGGCUUUACUCAAACACCUUAUUGUUUACUUUCUAUAGCUGUGAUCCCCAGCAAGGCAUUUCUCUAAAAGAGGUAUAUGUAAAUAGGAGAAAUAGAUUGCAACAUGAAUGUGAAGGGGAGGGUGUAACACAUAACUCAUUUUCCUUAUAAUUCCAUUGUACAUUAACAGGACACAGAACACAAAGUAGUUGUUAACGGACUUUUCCAGAAAACGAUCAGGGAGGUCUAUUUAUCUCUUAAUCUAUCUUAAUAUCAACCUUUCAGGUUCUGUGGUCACAUUUUUUAUUCCAAAAAUAAAAUUGCUAGUUUUUAAGAAAGACAAUAAUGAUAUUUGAAAUGAAUGCACAGAAACAUGCCAACUUGAGAAUAAAGGUCUGGAUUUAGAUAUUUACCAACGUAAAGUAGGGAAGUAGAAAAGAAAACCUAGAUCUUUUUAAAAAAUAUUUUAUUUAUUUUUGAGAGAGAGAGAGUGGGGGUGGGGAGGGACACAGUGAGAAAGACCAGCAGACUCUGCACUGAGCACAGAGCCCCACGCGGGGCUCCAUGACCUAGGCAGAAACCAAGAGUUGGAGACUUAGCCAACUGAGCCACCCAGGUGCCCCCCAAACCUUAAUCUUUAUAGAAAAAAAUAAGUCAACACAAAAAGUUAGUUAUCUGUUAUUCACCAUUCGUUAAGUCCUGGAAUGGUGCAGGAAAGUCUUUCAAGCACAAAAGUAAACUGAUUUGUAGGUUGUUUUUUUUUUCUUUAAGAUUUUAUUUAUUAAUUUAUGAGAGACACAGAGGGAGAGCAAGGCAGUGACACAGCAGAGGGACAGGCAGGCUCCAUGCAGGGAGCUCGAUGUGGGACUCGAUCCCAGGACUCCAGGAUCAUGCCCUGGGCCGAAGGCAGGCGCUAAACCGCUGAGCCACCCGGGGAUCCCUGAUUUGUAGGUUUUGUUGGUUGACCACAAAUAGUAUCGUGUAACCAUUUUCCUCAAUAUUAGAAGUCUGAGGCACAGAGAAAUUUUAUUGAAGCUUAUUCGCUAAAGAAAAAUAUGCAACCUGUGGUCAUGAGUGAAGAGGUACCCCUUAGGCACACUGAGGUACCACCCUGGGCAGGGUGGUCUGUGGUGUAGAUGAGUCUGUUUCUUAGCCGCGGUGCCAUUGGCCUUCUAAGGAGAACCAAAGGAUGAAAGCCUGUCGUAGGGAAAGCGAGUUUCCUUGCUUUCUAUGAAGAACCACGGACAGCUCCAGGGUGCGACAGAAAAAGCAUUUAUUUUCCCGACCCUGGAUGGUAGUCCGGGUCAGAUUCGGGCCUGAUUCAGGCUGCGGCUCACUGAUAAUGAGGCGCACACCACCAGGCCUCUCUUUACUAUUCGUUCUAAGUGUAUUUACGUGAGCACGGAGGGCCCAGCGCUUCGCGGGCA
rnacentral:lncRNA from 1 species